CAACACAACCUAAUACACAAACGCACUGCAAAUACACACCACACAGCCAAAUACAUAAACGCACUGCAAAUAUAGAAGCAAUGCAAAAAUCAAAAGCACACUAACCCCGAAAGAAAACGCAGCCAAAAAAAACACUUCAUCCAGAUUACA